ACAGAGGGUGCGAGCGUUAAUCGGAUUUACUGGGCGUAAAGCGUGCGUAGGCGGCUUUUUAAGUCGGAUGUGAAAUCCCUGAGCUUAACUUAGGAAUUGCAUUCGAUACUGGGAAGCUAGAGUAUGGGAGAGGAUGGUAGAAUUCCAGGUGUAGCGGUGAAAUGCGUAGAGAUCCGGAGGAACCCCGGUGGCGAAGGCGACUUGCUGGGCCUGAACUGACGCUCAGACGCGAAAGCAUGGGGAGCGAACGG
rnacentral:rRNA from 1 species